rnacentral:rRNA from 1 species
GAUGAACGCUGGCGGCGUGCCUAAUACAUGCAAGUCGAGCGAACGGACGAGAAGCUUGCUUCUCUGAUGUUAGCGGCGGACGGGUGAGUAACACGUGGAUAACCUACCUAUAAGACUGGGAUAACUUCGGGAAACCGGAGCUAAUACCGGAUAAUAUUUUGAACCGCAUGGUUCAAAAGUGAAAGACGGUCUUGCUGUCACUUAUAGAUGGAUCCGCGCUGCAUUAGCUAGUUGGUAAGGCAACGGCUUACCAAGGCAACGAUGCAUAGCCGACCUGAGAGGGUGAUCGGCCACACUGGAACUGAGACACGGUCCAGACUCCUACGGGAGGCAGCAGUAGGGAAUCUUCCGCAAUGGGCGAAAGCCUGACGGAGCAACGCCGCGUGAGUGAUGAAGGUCUUCGGAUCGUAAAACUCUGUUAUUAGGGAAGAACAUAUGUGUAAGUAACUGUGCACAUCUUGACGGUACCUAAUCAGAAAGCCACGGCUAACUACGUGCCAGCAGCCGCGGUAAUACGUAGGUGGCAAGCGUUAUCCGGAAUUAUUGGGCGUAAAGCGCGCGUAGGCGGUUUUAUAAGUCUGAUGUGAAAGCCCACGGCUCAACCGUGGAGGGUCAUUGGAAACUGGAAAACUUGAGUGCAGAAGAGGAAAGUGGAAUUCCAUGUGUAGCGGUGAAAUGCGCAGAGAUAUGGAGGAACACCAGUGGCGAAGGCGACUUUCUGGUCUGUAACUGACGCUGAUGUGCGAAAGCGUGGGGAUCAAACAGGAUUAGAUACCCUGGUAGUCCACGCCGUAAACGAUGAGUGCUAAGUGUUAGGGGGUUUCCGCCCCUUAGUGCUGCAGCUAACGCAUUAAGCACUCCGCCUGGGGAGUACGACCGCAAGGUUGAAACUCAAAGGAAUUGACGGGGACCCGCACAAGCGGUGGAGCAUGUGGUUUAAUUCGAAGCAACGCGAAGAACCUUACCAAAUCUUGACAUCCUUUGACAACUCUAGAGAUAGAGCCUUCCCCUUCGGGGGACAAAGUGACAGGUGGUGCAUGGUUGUCGUCAGCUCGUGUCGUGAGAUGUUGGGUUAAGUCCCGCAACGAGCGCAACCCUUAAGCUUAGUUGCCAUCAUUAAGUUGGGCACUCUAAGUUGACUGCCGGUGACAAACCGGAGGAAGGUGGGGAUGACGUCAAAUCAUCAUGCCCCUUAUGAUUUGGGCUACACACGUGCUACAAUGGACAAUACAAAGGGCAGCGAAACCGCGAGGUCAAGCAAAUCCCAUAAAGUUGUUCUCAGUUCGGAUUGUAGUCUGCAACUCGACUACAUGAAGCUGGAAUCGCUAGUAAUCGUAGAUCAGCAUGCUACGGUGAAUACGUUCCCGGGUCU